rnacentral:lncRNA from 1 species
AUGGUUAUCACAACUGUGUACAAACUGAUAGGGCCUUUAGCGGGCCAAGGACUGGAAACGAACAUUGGCGGGGUUAUCAGUGCGGAUCUGUCAGCAAGGAGUCGUGCACUGCUCGUCCCAGGCAGCAGUAGUGAUAUACGUCUUGUUCCUUCGUGCUCACAAAAAGGAUUUCUUCCGACAAGCUGGACACUGGAAGGGUGCAGAAAGGGAACUGAACAGGAGGAACUCUCUUGUUGGAUUGGAUUUUUACACACUCGCCCCAGUUGGAGAAAGGAGAGGGGUCCAAGCAGAGCUGAACAUGAAUGCAUGGGUGCGCUGUAAAAUGCGAUUUCGAGAAGCUUGUUAUCUGGGCCACCCAAUGACCGACGAAAGAUCUUCCCUCCCUAAGUCUCCCAUCGCUGCUUUAAACCAAAUAAAUUUAGCUAUUAAGGGACA